rnacentral:rRNA from 1 species
AACGAACGCUGGCGGCAUGCCUAACACAUGCAAGUCGAACGAGACCUUCGGGUCUAGUGGCGCACGGGUGCGUAACGCGUGGGAACCUGCCCUUAGGUUCGGAAUAACUCCCCGAAAGGGGUGCUAAUACCGGAUAAUGUCUUCGGACCAAAGAUUUAUCGCCUUUGGAUGGGCCCGCGUUGGAUUAGCUAGUUGGUAGGGUAAAAGCCUACCAAGGCGACGAUCCAUAGCUGGUCUGAGAGGAUGAUCAGCCACACUGGGACUGAGACACGGCCCAGACCCGGCGGGGAGGAGGGAGGGGGAAAUAUGGAAAAAGGGGAGAAAGCCGGAUCGAAAAAUGCCGGGUGAGAGAGAAGGGCUUUAGGGUUGAAAAGCUUUUUUACCAGGAAUAAAAAGGAAAGGACGGGGAAAAAAAGCACAGGAAAACUCCGGG